CCUCCCUCAGUCUGAGUUCUUUCCAGAAGGGCAGAGGGUGAUGCUGGAAAAGGAAGCCAAGCUCCAGGAACAAUGAAGUUUUCUCACCAACAUUCAAAUUUUACCAGGGAAGUCUGUGCUCGCCUCAGAAGGAGAGCACUUGGAGCUGUCAAAAUGUCAAGAUGGCUGGUGUCCGAUUCGAUGGUUUUGGCCACUUGGAGCUUCCUCUGCACCUCCUGGCUCUCCAGAGUCGUCACAAUUUUGCUGGGGGCAAAACACAGUGAGCUCUCUGGGAAAUUGAAUAUAGUGACUUGAGAGAAACACUCCACUCCUCGCCUUCUGGACAAGGAGGCUCCAUCUACAAGCUCCAUCCAGAUCAACAGCAUCCCAGUCACUUACUCGUUGUGACCAGCUGUUCAAAGGAAAUUCGAGAUUCAGAAGCUUUUGAAA